GAAGUCUGGCAUUGGCUCGCCGUUCGUAAAUAAAUUACUAUUUAACGUUUGUAAAUGUGUGGAUUAAUUUAUAAAUGUACCUCAGGUGCAUAUGAUUGAAAUAAUGAACAAGUCUUAUUGGUGGAUCACUUGGUUCGUAGAUCGAUGAAGAACGGGGCAAAACCCGUUAGUUAGCGUGAAUUGCAGACAUAUUGAACGCUAAAAUUUUGAACGCGAAUGGCAUUAACAGGUUUAUAUCUGUUAGUAUGUUCAAUUGAGGGUUGAUUAAUUCGUUAUUUGCAAUCGGCUUUGGUCGAUUGUUUGUUCGAUUAGUUAAUUGUACUGCUUCUUUGCUGUACGAUUACCUUAUCGGUAUGAUUGUUACGAU
rnacentral:rRNA from 1 species